GCUGCACCACGGGUGGUUCUUUUAUACCUUUAGAGUAUUUGGGCCCAAAUUGAUAAAUACAAUGCUUUUGGGGGCAACAAAGGUCUGAAAGUAGUUUGCAAAUAUUUAAAACAGGCCAGAGUUUAUAUUUUACAAAAGUUAAAAAUAAUUAAACAAGAAAGUGUAUUAAAAAGUAUGCAUAUAAUUAAAACAAUUCAUGCUACUCCAGACUGACCCCUAAUUUUGUGGUAGAUGUAGACAAGCCUCAAGAGAGAUUAUUUAUAAAAAACCAAUCUCACUUAGAAGGCAAACCAAACACCUAAUAACAGCUAGGGUUUGUUGGAUGGGUAUAAAACCUUACAGAUUUAAAAUAAAAUAAAAUAAGUCAAAAUAAUAAAGAAGAGAAUUGAUAGGUUAUUCCUACAUUAAUGAGGGAAAUCUCUCAUUAGAAUUGUUUAGAAUUUUGCUGACAACAAGUUAGCAGGUAUCAAUACACUAUCAAAGCCCAUGGUUUCAAAUAACGUAGUUAAAAAUACAUUUUGUCUUAAAAAAUGUGGAAGAUUAUUGUUAUAUAUGACAAAGGCAGCCAGAAUUAUCUAAGCUCAAAGAUGGAAAGAUUCAAUGAAUCUGACUCAAGACAGUUUGUUUAUAAAAAUAGGUAAACUUGAAGAAAUGGAUAAACUUACAGUGCUGAUUAAGGAGAGAAGGAGAGCUCUCUUACUAACUUUAAGAAAGACUGGGGCCCAUUUAUUGUGUUCCUCCUGCAAAGAUGGGGUCAAGCCUCCAUCAUUGGAUUUUUGGACUAGAAGAGUGUUAUCAUGUGGGGAAAGGAUAUAUUAAUGGUUCUUUUUCAUUUAAUUGAGAGAAUAUAACCAUCCAACAGAUAAUGUAAAGCUCUUCAAUUAGAUAAUGUAGAGCAUUUAUAGUUAAUGUUUUCUGAUGUUUAGAAUGUAGUGGUAAUAUGUUUUCUUUUAUUCUAGAAAAAGUAUUUUUAACUUUGUUUUUGUUAGUUACUUUGCUUUUUUAUUUGUACAUUGGCAUGUAGGUUUUGUAUUAAUUUGUCUGAAUAAAAAUAAUUUUGAAGAACUCUUUCUCUUGAAAUAUAAGAGAAAUAUGAGAGAUUAAAUAAUGUCUAUAAAUGGAAACAAGACAUCUCAUGAUUAGCCCUGAAUACUGCCAAACGUUCCCUUCCCCCUAAACGUCAAUGUGGGUCAAGGUAUUUAUAAUCUGUAUUGGCACAAAAGUAUCUGCCAUUUGAUUAUCACAUGAAAUGUGUCACAUGCAGAGAAUUUCUACCAAUGACAGUAGCCAAGAAACUGUGCUCUCUGUCUUUUCCCAAGCUAAUUCCAGUUCUCUCUUCCACCACCUUUUGGACAGGUUUUAAUGGAUCAGAUCCAGAAAGUAUUGCAGUAUAUUCUGCUGCCCUGUAUUCAUGUGUUAAUAGAAGUCAGGAGUAAUAAAAGUCAACUUGUACCACACACUCUCCUGCGUUGUCUUUACCACCUCCUAUAUGGGAUAAAUGAAGUAGCCCAAGGGGGCUUUAUGGCCAGGUGGCAAUUUGAACCUGGGUCUUUCCAGUCUUGUUCUCAUAUUCUAUUUCCCAGCCAUAUUUAACCUCUUCUUACUUGCUGACCUUUCAUGGAAGAAAAUGUCAAAUUGCAUCAACUUUGCGAUGAAAGAAAGGGAAAAGUGAAACAAUUGAUCUUGCCUAUGUAAUGUGGUGAUAAUAUACAAACAGUAAUUAUACAGCUACCUGUGGUGACUUGUCUGUUUUCACCAGAUACAUCCAUGUGGAGGGGUGAAAAGAGUUCAGCCACAGCAGUUCAGUUCAUCUGCUCACCAAAGUUCUUUCCUAUAGAAGAGUCUCAAUAACCAGAAGCCAAAGAAAGACUGAACAGAUGGUGCCUCCCCUUGCGGCAUGGAAACUGACACUCUUUUGGAACAGAAGGCAUGGUAGUCUGCAAGGACCAUGUUGGAAGGCAGGGGGAAAAGAUGAAUUUGGACAAAGACCCACCCACCCCCAUUUUUCAAAACUUCCCCCUUUUUAAAAAGACACAAUUACAGGAGAAAAUUACUUACUUUGGUUCCUCCCUGUAAAAACAAAUGAUGUAAACAAGGCUAACACAUUGUUUCCAAACGCUGUACUUGGAAUCCCAUGGAAUUCAGUGGAACUACUGAUUUAUAUCAGUAAGUAUACAUAGAUUAUGGUUGUAAAACUGCUUUAUUUGGUACCAUAUGUGACUAAAUCAACAUUACUCCUUAUGUGUAAUUAGCUGCUACAUUUUAGCAUUAGCUGUGAACUGUAUCGCUGCUGUAUCAAAAUGAAAAAAACUUUUGGUGUGCCAAAGGGAACUUUCAUCCCUGAGCUCAAAACAAACAAACAAACAAACAAA